rnacentral:rRNA from 1 species
UACAGAGGGGGCAAGCGUUGUUCGGAAUUACUGGGCGUAAAGGGCGCGUAGGCGGCCCACUAAGUCGGACGUGAAAUCCCCGGGCUCAACCCGGGAACUGCGUCCGAUACUGGUGGGCUUGAAUCCGGGAGAGGGAUGCGGAAUUCCAGGUGUAGCGGUGAAAUGCGUAGAUAUCUGGAGGAACACCGGUGGCGAAGGCGGCAUCCUGGACCGGCAUUGACGCUGAGGCGCGAAAGCCAGGGGAGCAAACGGG